GAUGUCUGUCGGUGGCCUAGGCCACAGGGGUUGUGAUGCUGCACUGCAAACGUGGAUGCGGACCCAGUGCCCUUCGACUUUGUGAUAUGGAGCGGACAAAUCCCCUGCAGAGUCUCCAGGUUAAUGCACCAGUAAGAGCAAGUGUGGGUGAGGAUACCAGAGGCAUCUCCCGGUCAAGGC
rnacentral:lncRNA from 1 species